ACACGUAAGUUCAGUGCUUGAAAUCUUUGUCUUCAAAUUAUAUACAACCUUUGAACUCCAAAAUGUAGAAAAAAAAAAAGAAGCUUUCCUAAUAGGACUCAACAGGAAGACUGCAAAAGUCAAGGGUUUGUUAAUCGAACUUGUUGUUCUGCUGAGGUGAUCUUGAAAGGGGUGGACUAAACCAGAAUUUGAGGUCUUCAGCUGUAAUCUUUUUUUUGAAUUUCAAAAGAAAAACAUUAUGGAGGGCACUCGUGUUGGACCACCAGAGAGUAAAAGAUCUGACUUAUGACAGAAAAUGGAUAAAAUUUGGACAUGGAUAAUUUUAACAUUAUUUCUACAGAGUGACAUAAUAGAAGGAAAUGCUCCAAAUAUUGAAGUGUCACACAAUAUGCGGGUGUUGAAGCUACCCAGAGAGACAAAAGUGGGUAA